AUUGAACGCUGGCGGCAUGCUUUACACAUGCAAGUCGAACGGUAACAGGCCUUCCUUUGCUGACUAGUGGUGCACGGGUGAGUAAUGCUUCGGAACGUACCCCGUGCCUGUGGAUAACGCAGCGAUAGCUGUGCUAAUACCGCAUGUGAUCUGAGGUUUAAAGCGGGGGACCGCGCUGCAAUGUUUCGCCUCGCGCCUUUGUAGCGGAUGAUUUCGGAUUAGCUAGUUGGUGUGGUAAAGGCCUACCAAGGCGACGAUCCGUAGCUGAUCUGAGAGGACGACCAGCCACACUGGAACUGAGACACGGCCCAGACUCCUACGGGAGGCAGCAGUGGGGAAUUUUACACAAUGGGCGAAAGCCUGAUCCAGCAAUGCCGCGUGCGUGAAGAAGGCCUUCGGAUUUUAAACCUCUUUUAGCAGGAACGAAACAAUGUCCACUAAUACCUGGCGCUAAUGACGGUACCUACACAAUAAGCACCGGCUAACUACGUG
rnacentral:rRNA from 1 species